rnacentral:rRNA from 1 species
UGCAGUCGAGCGGUAAGGCCCUUUCGGGGGUACACGAGCGGCGAACGGGUGAGUAACACGUGGGUGACCUGCCCUCCACUCUGGGAUAAGCCCGGGAAACUGGGUCUAAUACCGGAUAGGACCUCUGGAUGCAUGUCUGGUGGUGGAAAGUUUUUUCGGUGGGGGAUGGGCCCGCGGCCUAUCAGCUUGUUGGUGGGGUGAUGGCCUACCAAGGCGGUGACGGGUAGCCGGCCUGAGAGGGCGACCGGCCACACUGGGACUGAGACACGGCCCAGACUCCUACGGGAGGCAGCAGUGGGGAAUAUUGCGCAAUGGGCGGAAGCCUGACGCAGCGACGCCGCGUGGGGGAUGACGGCCUUCGGGUUGUAAACCUCUUUCGCCAGGGACGAAGCUUUUGUGACGGUACCUGGAUAAGAAGCACCGGCCAACUACGUGCCAGCAGCCGCGGUAACACGUAGGGUGCGAGCGUUGUCCGGAAUUAUUGGGCGUAAAGAGCUCGUAGGCGGUGUGUCGCGUCGGCCGUGAAAACUUGGGGCUUAACUCUGAGCGUGCGGUCGAUACGGGCAUCACUUGAGUUCGGCAGGGGAGACUGGAAUUCCUGGUGUAGCGGUGAAAUGCGCAGAUAUCAGGAGGAACACCGGUGGCGAAGGCGGGUCUCUGGGCCGAUACUGACGCUGAGGAGCGAAAGCGUGGGGAGCGAACAGGAUUAGAUACCCUGGUAGUCCACGCC